GCUGAGACAGGGACUUCUUUGUUUGAAGUCAACAAAGAAAAGGUUAAGUUAAUUCCAAUCAACGUUAAUAAAAUGGAGGGAUGAGAUUGUUCUUUCUUUAAAGUCAUCAACGAUCAAGAUUGAAGGAAGAUCAAGGGCUGAUAUUGGUGUGCAAAAGAGAUCCAAGGGCUGUGAAUGAAAGCGCCAUUUCCAUAAAAAGAGAGCUUGCCCGAAAAUCACAGUUGGAGAAGCUAUCAUCGAACAGUGCAAUUUUCUUCAGUCUUUGAAAUUCAUCUCUUCAAGAUAUUAUCAUCAAUCUUCAAGCUUCUAUUCAAGUUUUAGAGUUGAUAUUUGUUUUCUGAAAUAUUCAUCUUCCUUAGGCUUUCAUACUCAAAAUUUAUUGAAGAAUUUGAAAGCUCUAUUUGCCUAAAUUGCAUAUCCUUAUCCGUGAGCAUCCAGAGUUGUAAAUCGUUGAGAGUUCUCUUAUUUUGUUGUGCUAAAACACUUUCUUGAGAGAACCUAGAGCUUAAACCACUUAUCAUUUUCUUGUGAAAGUUUUUGGGUUUCCUUAAAACCCUAGGAUGAAAGUUUGGCGAUUAGAUUGAAAUCCUUGAAGCUCUUGUGGGUAACCUUGAAACUCUUGUGUAAGGUUCUUGUGGUGAGCUUGUGAAAAUUACAUUCUUUAGUGGAAGUUGAAAUCCUACGCUUGAAGGCUUAGGUAGUGGAUGUAGGAAGGGGAUCCGAACCAUUAUAAAUUGCCUGUUCUUGUUCUUAUUUGCUAUUGCUUGUUUUUGAUUGUUUGAUUGCUUUAACUCACUGUUUUGGAUUAAGCUUGUUGCCUUGCAUCUCAUUAUUUGUCAUACUUGAUCUGUGUGCUUAAAUCUUUGAUUUUCAUUGAGUAUAUUGGUCUAAGGCCCUGCCAUUGCUUCUUGAUUGAAACCUUAAGUUCUUAGUUGAUCCAAGAAAGUCUUAGGUGACUAGUUGAACCUUUUGAUAUAUAUGUAUUUGUUGUUGUUUUGAUCAAAUACUUAAUUAUUUGGUAUUUUUAUCUUAGUUUAUAAUCUGAAUUUUAAAAGGGAUUCUCAAUUUCAAAUUUGGAGACACAAUUCAAUCCCUCUUAUAUAUGCCUAGGUCUAUCAAAAAUAUCAUGCUUGAGCAGCCCCAAAUAUAGUAAAGAUUUAGUGUAAUGGAUAUGAAUACGGAUCAGAGUAUAUCCUACCUAACCCAAUCCGUUGUCAUUCCUACCGUCUAACUUUAAAAAGCACCAACUAAUUCAUCUACCUCAUUGCUGUAAUUUCGUGCAACCUCAUCAAAACAAUGAAAGAAGUCAUGGCCUUUUUUCCGAGCAAAACGACAAGGAAGAAAGGAAAAUGACAUAGAAUCAACACACCAUGACACAACACCUGUUUCGUGAAAUGGAUUUUAAGCUAGAGGACAAGGUAGGUGGGGCUAGGUAGGCUUUCUUUAUUAGCAUGAACAUUGAACACACCACAGGUUCACAGCCGUGUUCUUGCGUUGGAUUCCCACUAGAAAAAGCCUGCAUAUGUGUUCAGUCCACCACUGUCCAACCCACCAAGGGAAGAAAAGAUGCCAGUUCUACUGUGCAUCAAAACCACAAGGGAAAAAAAGAGGAAAAGAAGACAAGGCCGGCCAAAGAUACAGAGCCACAAGAGGAGCUUAUUUUGUGAGAUCUUGACCUUUGAAACCGCUCUCUCUUUACCAUUUUGUGUUUCUUCGGUUAGAAAUGGAGAUUGUUGUUACUGUUGGAGAAGCACUCCUAUAUAUUUAUGAGAAUCGUACAACUCAAAACGGAUAAUAUUGUUUGUGUGUAUGACGGCGUAGAUUUAUAAUAAAUUAUAUUUUUGAGGAUUUUUAGUGGAUAACCUGAUGGACACGAAUAUUGGGGAUUUGGAUAUUUUCCAGGGAAAGCACGGAUAUGAGUAUUGUUCUGCUGUAAUUUCUUGGAAACUCAGCAAAACAAUGAGAGGGAGUCGGGGCCUUUUUUUCCAAGCAAAACGACAAGGAAGAAAAAUAACGAUUUGACAUAUCAAUUUAGGCACAAUUCUCUCGCUCCCUCCCUCCCUCCCUCCCUCUCACUCACUGUAAAUGACUUGAGGCAUAUUACAAAUUUAUUUUUUGAAUGUGGGUUAUCAGUUCAAAUAUUGUUGUAAAUAUAUUUUUAGAAGUUUUAGUGGACAUCCUCAUGGACACGAGUACUGGGGACUUGGAUAUUUCCAGGAAAAAGGACGGAUAUGAGUAUUGUUUUGCUGUAAUUUCUUGGAAACUCAGCAAAACAACGGAAGGAAGUCGUGGCCUUUUUUUUUUCCAAGCAAAACGGUAAGGAAGAAAGGAAAAGAA